CGGGACCAGGUAUAUGUUUGUAAGACCACGACGUGAACUCAUUAUAAGGCAGAGUUCUCUCGGAAUCAAAACAACAGAAAUCAAUGACAGCUGCCAUGCAUUUUAUUGCCGUGUCCGUGUUUUUAUCUCUGAUGUUUUUGGCAGCUUUUGCCCAAUAUGCCCCUAUGUAUUUUUACGGAGGGGAUUCCCCGGACCUUCCUGACGCCCCCGAUUUUUAUUUCGCCAGACCAGGAAUUCCCUACAUGCCACGAGGACCAAUCAUGUACCGACCACCAAUCAUAUACGGAUAAACAAAAACGUAAACAAAAACAUCAAUAUGUGUAGUCUUGAUUA